rnacentral:rRNA from 1 species
UACGGGGGGAGCAAGCGUUGUUCGGAUUUACUGGGCGUAAAGGGCGCGUAGGCGGCCAGCGCAAGUCAGUUGUGAAAUCUCCGGGCUUAACUCCGAACGGUCAACUGAUACUGCGCGGCUAGAGUGCAGAAGGGGCAACUGGAAUUCUCGGUGUAGCGGUGAAAUGCGUAGAUAUCGAGAGGAACACCUGCGGCGAAGGCGGGUUGCUGGGCUGACACUGACGCUGAUGCGCGAAAGCCAGGGGAGCGAACGGG